UACGAAGGGGGCUAGCGUUGUUCGGAAUUACUGGGCGUAAAGCGAACGUAGGCGGUGUUCCAUGACAGAGGUGAAAGCCUGGGGCUCAACUCCAGAAUUGCCUUUGAAACGGGGACGCUUGAGUCCGAGAGAGGGUGGCGGAAUUCCUAGUGUAGAGGUGAAAUUCGUAGAUAUUAGGAAGAACACCAGUGGCGAAGGCGGCCACCUGGCUCGGUACUGACGCUCAGGUUCGAAAGCGUGGGGAGCAAACAGG
rnacentral:rRNA from 1 species